rnacentral:lncRNA from 1 species
AUUUUCAUUCCAUAAAACAGAAUGAAAAUUAUAUGUUGCUCUUGUUCAGCACUUUAAGCUGUUCUUGCGUUUUUCCUCAGAUGAAAAUGUCCUUUAUGCAGACCUCAUCACAAAAAAUAGGAUGUUUUCUGCUGAAAGAUUUUGGGUGCCAAACUACAACCCAACACCUUCCCAAGAUUUCCAAGAAUUGCAAUUCUCAUGUGUUGCCCACACAUCUAAUACAUAAAAUUUUUUAAACUUUCAUGAGACGUUAUUGUCAUUUCUGACAAGGUCUUGACCAAACUGGAAAUGAUUCCUGCUCAAAAGUACAAUUUAUCAUUUCCUCAUGACAAAUGUGGCGAAGAGAACUAGAAACUUAUAAUGAACUACUUGCUCUAUGGUUUCGGACUGGUUUCCAUGACCCAUAUUUCCAUAAUUUAUGAUCUCUGAAGAUAAAUAUGUUUUCCUCAUCCACAAAAUGUAACAUCUUUUGCAAUUGUUGUGGACUUUGGCUGUACUUUUCCAUCUUCUUUCUGACUACUGAUGGAUUUAUACUUCCACUAUUUUGCUAUUGAACACAUAAUCAGGAAAAGAACUUGAAUGCAGUACUGUAAUAAUAUCACUGUAUUAUUUAUAUGAAAAUAAUUUGCUUGCUUUCUAGGGCUAAUGGAAAUCUUGUUUGAUUCUUAAAUUAUUAAAACUUACCUAUGCUGCCAAUUGUAAUGGUUUUGUGAUUUUUGUUGUUGGUAUUCCACAUCAUUACAUCAUGUAAGGUACGGGCAGUUAAAGAGUUAAUUCCUUGGUUACCACAAACUGCCUUUUUUGGUGUGGCCCUCUGAGGGGGAGGGGAGGAGGUGCACGCCCCAGGGGUCUUUGCGUGGGAGGGGGUGGUGAAGCCGCCUGGGAGACGCGGGGUCUGUUCCUUCCUGCCCGGCGGAGAAAGCAUGUGGUCCUCCUGCAGUUUACUGUGUAAGAUUUUCAGCCUGUAAACUCUCUGUUAUAAUUCUAUUAGUCUCAUUUUUGAUAUAUUUAGUAAAAUUAGUUGUUCCUCCUCAGAUUGGUGCCGCUGUUUUUUUUUUGUGUUAGAUCCGCCUAUGAGUCCCCUGCCUUUCCCCUCUUCCCUUUGUUUCCCCAGGGUGCGGGUCCGCGGCUUCUCUGCCGCUUUAGCUGCCAGACCGCCUGGGGCCGGCCCCUACCCACUGGCAAUUUUUUUUUCUUCCUCUUUUCUUGUUUUUUUUCUUUCGGGCCUGUCCUCCU